rnacentral:rRNA from 1 species
UCCUACGGGACGCAGCAGUAGGGAAUUUUCGUCAAUGGGCGCAAGCCUGAACGAGCGAUGCCGCGUGAGUGAAGAAGGCCUUCGGGUCGUAAAGCUCUGUUGCGGGGGAAAAAAGGCAGCAUCAGGAAAUGGGUGCUGACUGAUGGUGCCCCGCCAGAAAGUCACGGCUAACUACGUGCCAGCAGCCGCGGUAAUACGUAGGUGGCGAGCGUUAUCCGGAAUGAUUGGGCGUAAAGGGUGCGCAGGCGGUC